GUUCACAUUCACCAAUAAAUUCUACAAUAAACAUUCCAGGGCCAUACUUGUACAUACAUGGUUUUGUAUGAAAAUCAUUGCUUUUGGGGUUUUUUUAACGUGCAAUUAUCAUCAUAAAAUCAACAUGGAUUCCAAUCAUUUUGUGUGUUUU